CGCAGCCGCGGUAAUUCCAGCUCCAAUAGCGUAUAUUAAAGUUGUUGCAGUUAAAAAGCUCGUAGUUGAAUUUCGGGGUUAGUAGGUUGGUCAUGCCUCUGGUAUGUACUGGUCUCACUGAUUCCUCCUUCCUGAUGAACCUUAAUGCCAUUUAUUUGGUGUUUUGGGGAAUUUGGACUGUUACUUUGAAAAAAUUAGAGUGUUUAAAGCAAGCUAACGCUUGAAUACAUUAGCAUGGAAUAAUGAAAUAGGACGUUCGAUCCUAUUUUGUUGGUUUCUAGGAUUGACGUAAUGAUUAAUAGGGAUAGUCGGGGGCAUUAGUAUUCAAUUGUCAGAGGUGAAAUUCUUGGAUUUAUUGAAGACUAACUACUGCGAAAGCAUUUGCCAAGGAUGUUUUCAUUAAUCAAGAACGAAAGUUAGGGGAUCGAAGACGAUCAGAUACCGUCGUAGUCUUAACCAUAAACUAUGCCGACUAGGGAUCGGAUGAUGUUAAUUUUUUAAUGACUCAUUCGGCGCCUUA
rnacentral:rRNA from 1 species